rnacentral:rRNA from 1 species
UACAGAGGGGGCAAGCGUUGUUCGGAAUUACUGGGCGUAAAGGGCGCGUAGGCGGCCCUCUAAGUCGAACGUGAAAUCCCUGGGCUCAACCCAGGAACUGCGUCCGAGACUGGGGGGCUAGAAUCCGGGAGAGGGAUGUGGAAUUCCAGGUGUAGCGGUGAAAUGCGUAGAUAUCUGGAGGAACAUCGGUGGCGAAGGCGGCCACCUGGACUGCACCUGACGCUGACACGCGAAAGCUAGGGGAGCGAACGGG